GACUUCCAGCCUUUGGGGGAACUUUCUCUGGACAGAGGAAUGUGUUGUUUAUCUUAUCUGUGGUGUUCGGCUUGAGCUUUCUCAGAAGAUGGACUAUGAAUGCUAUGCUCUGAAGCCGAGAAAUGCAAACUGUAAAUAGACAUGUAAAUAAAGUUAAUCAACAGUUGGACUUCGCCUGCUGGAGUGUUUUCUUGACCAGUGCUGAUUCUCCGCAUGGGAAUACAGUCUGGAGAAGGAGCUCCCUCAGCUACUCCCCAGGGGUGUCAUUGUUUCCAGACCUUGGACUAUUUUGGUCAACCUUCUACAACUAUCUGGAGUCUGGCAAAUCCUGGCCAACAAGAUGAGAAGGCAAUCACACAGAAGCUCAAGACAGCCCAUGCUGC
rnacentral:lncRNA from 11 species